rnacentral:rRNA from 1 species
UACGGGGGGGGGUAAGCGUUGUUCGGAAUUACUGGGCGUAAAGGGCUCGUAGGCGGCCAACUAAGUCAUACGUGAAAUCCCUCAGCUUAACUGGGGAACUGCGUGUGAUACUGGAUGGCUUGGAUUUGGGGAGAGGGAUGCGGAAUUCCAGGUGUAGCGGUGAAAUGCGUAGAUAUCUGGAGGAACACCGGUGGCGAAGGCGGCAUCCUGGACCAAUAUUGACGCUGAGGAGCGAAAGCUAGGGGAGCAAACGGG